GAUGAAGAACGUAGCGAAAUGCGAUAAGUAAUGUGAAUUGCAGAAUUCAGUGAAUCAUCGAAUCUUUGAACGCACAUUGCGCCCGUUAGCAUUCUAGCGGGCAUGCCUGUCCGAGCGUCAUUUCAACCCUCAGGGUCCCCGUUCCGGCGGGGAACCUGGUGUUGGGGAUCGGCCCGCCCCGUGCGGCGCCGUCCCCCAAAUUCAGUGGCGGUCUCGCUGCAGCCUCCCCUGCGUAGUAGUUACAACCUCGCAUCGGAGCUCAGCGCGGCCACGCCGUAAAACCCCCGACUUUCUGAACGUUGACCUCGGAUCAGGUAGGAAUACCCGCUGAACUUAAGCAUAUCAAAAGCGGAGGA
rnacentral:misc_RNA from 1 species